CCAAUAUUCUCUAUAGAUCUCCAAAGAUAGUUUUUAUUUUGAAACUCUGUGGUUAUUGGAAUGUCAGAUAACAGACUUUUUUAUCUUCUGGCAUAGUAUGUCUUUCCUGUUCUAAGAGGUGAGCAGUUGAGCGAUCUUACCCUCUACCUCUGCCUCUGUCUCCUGGUUUAUGUAAAUGAAUUUUACCUAUUGCAGGCAGUUUAUUAUUGCUCCACAUGUUUUUGUUCUCAUUCUUUCUCUUCUUCUUUUUUGUUUUUCAAGACAGGGUUUCUCUGUGUAGCCCUGGCUGGCCUGGAACUCACUCUGUAGACCAGGCUGGCCUUUUUCUCAGAUCUAUCUGCCUCUGCUUUACAUGUUCUUACAUCUCAAGGUUUUUGGUCCCUGAUUUUAGGGAGUAUAUCUCUGUUCAUGAUUAGCUUUCUGAAGGAAAUCUGUGCCUCCUAAGUUUUCUUUCACUUUCCUACCUAAUAAUUUUUGUUCUGUUCUUUUCUUUCACUUUAAGAGGUGAGGGCUGGAGAGAUAUUCCAGUUGUUGAAAUACUUGCUACACAAGCUUGAGGGCCUGAGUUUAGCUCCAAACUCACAUUAAAGACAAAAUAAAACAAAGCAAAAAAUCAAACACCCAGAACUAUGCAUGAUGGUUGUCUGUAGAGGAGACAGGUCGGGCUUGCUGGCCAGGAGCCUAGCCUACUCAGUGAGUUCCAGGUCAUUGAGACCCUGCCCUCUUUUCUUUCUUUAAAAAAAAAAAAAAAAAAAGAAUG
rnacentral:lncRNA from 1 species